CACAAAUCAAUCCUUCCCUGUUGUGGUGACACAGACAUCAUCCGUCGAUAGAGGCCACGCUAAAAAUCUGGACGUCGGUGCUCGCGAAUCCAGCCAUAUCCCAGUUUCCCUCCCCACUAUACCCGAUCACUCACAAUCCUCUCUUUCAACCAGGGACUUCGGGCAGACUACUAAACAGUGACCGAAACCAGUCCCAGAUCCAGCUUAGGGAUGUAACACACAAAAACUCAUCAAGACCCCUAACCGACCUCACCUCACCCCACACCCCUACAGGCCCACAACAUAUUCAAUACGCACAACUGUCACACUUCAUUCAGACCAUGAAACUUCUCCCACUAGGGUCACGCGACCUAACAGACUUUAAGAGGUUGUGUUCUACUCACCCACUCAAAAAACAAGUACAAGCUAUGUACAAGCUGUUGCUCAGGUCAACAGCCCUGAAUCUCCCCUCAUAUACAGGGAAAUGGGUUAACGAACUACAAAUUACUCUGACCCCCAACCAAUGGAAACAAAUAUUCCAGAGGACACACAAAGUCUCCA